GCCUAUGGUCAUAACACCCUGAAAGCGUUCAAUAUCAUCUGAUCUCGGAAGCUAAGUAGGCUCGGCCUGGUUAGUACUUGGAUGGAUGGGAAUAAUGAAGAAAUAAGAGGUG
ensembl:rRNA 5S_rRNA 5S ribosomal RNA